GAUGAACGCUGGCGGCGUGCCUAAUACAUGCAAGUCGAGCGAACAGACGCGGAGCUUGCGCCUCUGACGUUAGAGGCGGACGGGAGAGUAACACGUGGAUAACCUAGCUAUUGGACUGGGAUAACUUCGGGAAACCGGAGCCCAUACAGGAUAAUCUAUUGCACGGUGGGGUUCAAUAGGUAAAGGCGGUUUUGGUGUCACUUAUGGCUGGUUCCGCGCCGCAUGAGCUAGUUGGUAAGGUAACGGUUUACCAAGCGCCCGACGGGUAGACGACCUGUGAGGCGGAUCGGCCACACUGGAACUGGAACACGGUCCAGACUCCUGAGGGACGCAGCAGUAGGGAAUCUUCCGCAAUGGGCGAAAGCCUGACGCAGCAACGCCGCGUGAGUGAUGAAGACCUUCGGAUCGUAAUACUCUGUUAUUAGUGAAGAACAAAUGUGUAAUUAACUAUGCACGUCUUGACGGUACCUAAUCAGAAAGCAACGGCUAACUACGUG
rnacentral:rRNA from 1 species